AUUGAACGCUGGCGGCAGGCCUAACACAUGCAAGUCGAGCGAGCGGCGGACGGGUGAGUAAUGUCUGGGAAACUGCCUGAUGGAGGGGGAUAACUACUGGAAACGGUAGCUAAUACCGCAUACCCUCAGCUGUGCACAGAUGGGAUUAGCUAGUAGGGGGGGUAAUGGCUCACCUAGGCGACGAUCCCUAGCUGGUCUGAGAGGAUGACCAGCCACACUGGAACUGAGACACGGUCCAGACUCCUACGGGAGGCAGCAGUGGGGAAUAUUGCACAAUGGGCGCAACCCUGAUGCAGCCAUGCCGCGUGUGUGAAGAAGGCCUUCGGGUUGUAAAGCACUUUCAGCGGGGAGGCGUUACUCGCAGAAGAAGCACCGGCUAACUCCGUGCCAGCAGCCGCGGUAAUUC
rnacentral:rRNA from 1 species